rnacentral:lncRNA from 1 species
CAUAUUUUCCCAACACUAACCACUUGGAGUCAUAUAGGUCAUGGAUGCAGUUGCAGGGGCUUCAAAGGCAAUCAUGUGCAAAGGUUUUUCACUCACCUUUACUGGAUCGGCUAGGCAAUGGUUCAGGCAGCUUGAGCCAAGAAGCAUCAGUUCGUUUUCUCAGCUCUCGAAACAGUUUGUGUGCAUAAUUCAUUAGAGCAAUGCAACAAAAAAAAAACCAUCAACCUAUCUAUUA